AGUUAUAUAGUUAUAUAAAAACAGAUAAUAAUAAGAAUUGGUGAGGAUGUAAAGAAAUCAGAGUCCCUACACACUGCUGGGGGGAUGUAACGUGGUACCGCCACUUUUGAAAAUAGUCUGGCAGUUCCUGAGAAGGUUAAACAUGGAAUUACCCUGUCACUCAACGAUUCCACUCCUAGGUGUCUACCCGAAAGAAAGGAAAACAUGCAUUCACACAAAACCUUGUGCGUGAAUGUUCACAGCAGUAUGAUUCAUAAUAGCCAGAAAGAAGAAAUAACUCAGCCGGGCGCGGUGGCUCAAGCCUGUAAUCCCAGCACUUUGGGAGGCCGAGGCAGGUGGAUCACGAGGUCAAGAGAUCGAGACCAUCCUGGUCAACAUGGUGAAACCCCGCCUCUACUAAAGAUACAAAAAAUUAGCUGGGCAUGGUGGCGCGUGCCUGUAAUCCCAGCUACUCAGGAGGCUGAGGCGGGAGAAUUGCCUGAACCCAGGAGGCGGAGGUUGUGGUGAGCCGAGAUUGUGCCAUUGCACUCCAGCCUGGGUAACAAGAGUGAAACUCCGUCUCAAAAAAAAAAGAAGAAAUAACUCACUGUUUACCAACUGAUGAAUAAACCAAUUGUGGCACAUUCAUAUGAUAAAAUAUUAUUCAGCCAUUAACACGAAUGAAGCUCUCAUACAUACUGCAGUGUGAAUGACUGUUAAAAAUAUUGUGCUACGCUGGGCACGGUGGCUCACAUCUGUACUCCCACAACUUUGGGAGGCUGGGGUGGGCAGAUUAGGAGGUCAGGAGUUCGAGACCAGCCUGGCCAACAUGGUGAAAUUCCACCUUUACUAAAAAUACAAAAAUUAGCCAGAUGUGGUGGCGGGUGCCUGUAAUGUCAGCUACUCAGGAGACUUAGGCAGGAGAAUUGCUUGAAUCCAGGAGGCGGAGGUUGCAGUGAGCCGAGAUGAUACCACUGCACUCCAGCCUGGGUGACAGAGCAAGACUCUUUCUUGGAAAAAAAAAAAUUGUGGUAAUUUUAUUCCUUCUUGUGAUUUAGAUUUAGUACUAUGCAAUACUAUUAUAGUGGUGUGCUAUACUACUACAGCAGCAUAAGAUUUUUAAGGAACUAAUAUUAAAAGAUAGUGGAGACAUUGAGUUGAAAAUGCUUGGAGGACCAAGUGCAGUGGCCCAUCCCUGUAAUUUCAACACUUUGGGAGGCCAAGGUAGGAGGACCACUUGAUCCCAGAAGUUUGAGACCAGCCUGGGCAACAUAGGGGGACCUCAUCUCCACAAAAAAAAUUUUUUUUAAUUGUUUUAGAUUAAAAAUUAAAAAAUUAGUGGGUGUGGUGGUGCACACCUGUAGUCCCAGCUACUUGGAAGGCUGAGGUGGGAGGAUUGCUUGAGCUCAAUGCAUCGAGGCUGCAAUGAGAUGUGAUCACACCACGGCACUCCAGCCUGGGUGGCAGAGUGAGACCCCAUAUCAGAAAAUACACAAACAGAAGAAGAAGGAAAGAAAACACUUGAAAGAAGGCCACUAAAAUGCCCAAAGUUAAUUUUUGGGAGACAGGAUUAUGGGGACAUUUCAUUUCCUGCUUUAUUCUUAUUUAGAUUUUCUAAGUUUCUAUGAUGAACGCAUAGCUUUUAUUUGAUCUGAAAAACAUCAAUACAUAUUAAUUAGAUAUGAGGCUUUUGCAGCAUGAGCUUGUAAUCUGUAGAAAGGAAGCUGUAGUGAAAUGAUGAACACAGCUGGGCACGGCGGCUCACGCCUGUAAUCCCAGCACUUUGGGAGGCUGAGGCAGGUGGAUCACCGAGGUCAGAAGUUUGAGCCCAGCCUGGCCAACUGGGUGAAAGCCUGUCUCUACUAAAAAUACAGAAAGUAGCCAGGUAUGGCGGUGCAGGAGAAUUGCUUGAAUUCAGGAGGCAGAGGUUGCAGUGGGCUGAGAUUGUGCCACUGUCCUCUAGCCUAGGUGACAGAGUGAGACUCCAUCUCAAACAAACAUUAAAAACAAAAAUAAAUGAAUAAAAAGACAUGAGGAGGAGAAAGCAAAACCAUUUGGAAUGUGGAAGGAAUGGAUUUUUUUUUUUUUGAGCCAGUAGGUUCGUCCAUGGAAUGUCCAUUAAUUACAUGUAUGCCAACCGCAGUGCUGUGAGGGAGUGACCUCGUGCUCAACAAGAUACUCAUGUCUCUCCCUUUUCACAAAUGCUACGUGACUUGCCAAGGCCACACAGCUAGGAAGCAAUCAGCUGGGAUUUGAACCCCCGCCACCUGACUCCAGAGCCCACAGUGGUCACCCAUGUGUUCCACUGUCUCAUCCCUGCGCGAACCUCACUGACCAUGAGAGACGGGGUAGGAAGAGGGCUUGCACCGCUGGACAUCCUCACCUACCCGGACAGGUAACUUGCUGGGCCUCUCUCUCCUCUGGCCUCGGCUCUUCCCCUCGCUCCAGACGGGAGAUCACGUCGGGUUUGGACCCAGGAAGCCCCGCUCCUGGGGAAAGAGGUAAGAGUUGGCAGUGGGUGCCAGGAUCUCAGGGCGGUCUGGAGGGAAGGCGCAUGCGUCGAGCGCCUAAUGAUUAGAAGCACGAAUGGCCAACGCCAGACUUAUUGGUUGCGUGCUUUGCGCACUGCAGAGAGGCUGAGCUCUGACAAGACUGUUGAAGGCGCCGGGUCUGUGCUGUUCCAAUUAAGUGCCCUGUGAAAGUGUAAAAAACACUGUCUUCUGUGUUUCGAAGAUUUACUAAAGAAAAAAACGGUAAAAUAUCUCAACAAUUUGUUAACCGGUUAUGAUUUCAGGGUGUCAAAAUGAUAUGAUUUUAGAUAGCUUGCAGUGAAUAAAACGCAUUAUUAAAAUUAA